UUCAGUUUGAAACCCUUCCCGCAGUUGGUGCAGCGGAAGGGCCUCUCAUCCGUGUGUGUCCGCUCAUGCAGGAGGAGAGCUGAGCUGGUCUGAAACCUCUUCCCACAUUCCAAGCACUUGUAGGGCCGUUCCCCAGUGUGGAUGAGCUGGUGGGUGCGGAGGUUGGAGCUGCUCCUGAAGCUCUUCCCACAUUCCCCACAAUUGUACGGCCGUUCCCCAGUGUGGAUGCGACGGUGUUGGAUCAGGUGGCAGUUCCUGUUGAAGCUCUUGAGACACUCCCCACACGUGUAGGGCCGUUCCCCAGUGUGGAUGUGCUGGUGACGGAGCAGGUGGGUACUCUUCCUGAAGCUCUUCCCACAUUCCAAGCACCUGAAGGGCUUCUCCCUGCUGGGAGGCUGCUCAGGGACCACCAGCUCAGAGCUCCCCCUCAAGCUCCGGCCGCCUUCCCAGCACAGGCUGGCUCUUUCCUCCUCAGAGCACCCUGGGCUGGCUUUGGAGCCCCUCCUGCGGGGGGAUCUCCGGCCCUUUUCCUCCCCGCUGCCUUCCUGCGCCGGGGAGCCCUUCAAAACGGCCUCUCCCACCAGGCUCUGCCGGGGGGAUUUGUCCUCCGGGCUCUCCGUCCUCAGCUCGGGGCCUGGGGCAGGAAGCAAGAAGGACAGGCAGGGGAUUUGCCUCCGGCCCACAGGGAAGGCCAAGGACAUCCCCCCAACUCCGGCCCCGGCAGGACGGCGGCGCCAGCGGGGUUGUCCUGCAGCCGGGGCCAUGCUGGGCUGACAGAGCCAGCACAACACCCGCCCAAAGGGACACUGACUUCCUCCUCACCUGCCUGGGGGGCCCAAGGCAUCUUCCUCUUCCUCGCAGCCUCCUCCUCCAUCCGCCCAAGCUUUGGGAAGGACAAAUCCUGAUGGGGGGGAAAACAAGGGCUGAGCUCGUUGGCUUGGGGGUUCCUCCUGCCCAAGUCCAUCUCUAGAACUCACCGGGCAUCCUGUGACCAUAAAAACCU
rnacentral:lncRNA from 1 species